CAAACUUUUUGCUGGGCACUGUAGGCAACAGAAAGAAACUGAGGGUCUGCUAUUUGUCUCCAGAGGCCUUACAAACUGGUAGAAGAUGCAUAACAGAAGAGCUUAUGAAGUUAAAGAUGACAGCAUAGCAGCACUGGUGAGAUCCUUUUAGACAUAACAUGGUAGGAAGGACUGUUUGACAAAGUGAAUGCCUGUCUUUCAGAAUAUACAGGGAGGUGUGAUGUACCCAUUAUCACAAGCAGAUGGAAUCCCUAUAGAGUCGGAUCUCAUCUACAUAUCACCUAUUAUAUGUAGUUAUUGAUGGAUAAAUACUUCAACAACUAAAGGCAGAAAGAGAGCAGGUUCACAAAGACGUUAUUGGUGAUUCAAUCUUGAGUCAUGAAAAGUCAACCUUGAGCCACAAAAAGUCAACCUUGAGCCAAGCAGAUUGGAGAGUCAUACAUGCCAUUCCUGGGACCAUCAAAAAUGGCAGAGGUCACACAAAAAGGCAAAACUUUUAAGAGGUGUUUUAAACGUCGUAUGGGCCAAAGAGAAGCUGGAUUUCCUAUUGGAGUCACCUGUAACACACGUGUGACGAAAUUGGCCUGUGAGGACAAGGCAGUGAGCAGAGAGGACAGCAGUCCUUAUGAGAUCAAGCUCUAAGGGUAUCCUAGACACAUUUGGAGAAUUCACCUGAGCUACAGGAUGUGGUAAGAUUUGGUGAGCAGGUGGUGAUUCUUACAGAAUCCCUCACACAUUCAUGCACAGAACUUCCCCAGCACACUCCCAGGUAGGACCACUUCCCUCUUCAUUGUGCAAAGAUUCACCACUGGUUCCAGCCUUCUCUGGCACUUUUAAGAUAUGCAUCAGGUUUUAUUCAUCUCUGAUUUUCUAGCCUCUGGCAGACUACCUGGUGUACCAGAGGCUUUGUAAGUAAUAGUUAAAUAAAGAGAAAACAUUAAAGCAACAUUGAAGGAAGAGGGUUAACCAGACUACAGAUUUGAGACCUCUAUCUCAGAGGGCCAACAGUCAUGUUGAUGUUUUCAUGCUUUCUUGGAUAUAAAAGUCACACUACACUUUCCCUCUCGGUGACCAUGUACAAAGGUUCAUUUAUAAUUAAUAGACAAAGUCUUUAAUAAAGCAAACCAAAUGUCAUCUUUCCUUUUUUCUGCAAUAUGAAGUCAUUAUUUCCACUGGAUGAAAGCACUUUUGACCUAUAAAAAUAAAAAAGUGAGAUGUUAGGUGACUUCAGUGCAUAAAAAUACUGUUUCUUGUUACCAAUAAUAUAUACUCAACCAUCGUCUUCAUCUUUAUCAUGGUCUCCUGGGGCAAACUGAAUCUGAGUUAGCAGGGUUUAAUAAAAGUUAUUCUGAACAUCUGGGUCAUUGUAGAGACACAUAUUGAAAAUUGAAACACUUUAUAUGUCAACAGAUGUUCUAGAAGAAGCCUGUCUAUUUUCUCUUAUUCAUUUAUGAGUCCAAGGAGAGGAAAAGUUCUUUGUUCAUCUCUCCAUCCAUGAUAUUAUGCUCCAUGCCUGAACCUCACCUAAUGCCUACUAUGUUUUACCAGUGUUGAAGGAGUACCAAGAAGCAUGAACAUCAUGAGUCCCAAAAAAAGUUGCUAAAACUGCUGUGAGAUUCUGGCUAAGAAAGUUUCAUGAGAAGUUUUACAGAAAAAUGUGAACGGAAGACAGAACUAGAUAUAAAUUUGAAUGGUAAUCUAAAUAAAAGACAUUUUUCA
rnacentral:lncRNA from 1 species